GGGGGCGGGGGCGGUUAGGGCCCCGGGAUUUUUAUCCCCGUUGAUUUGCGGAUGCGGGGACGGGAAAACGGGAGGAGUUCGCUGUCCGGACUCCAGGCCUGGAAGCUUUUGCCCCCGGGAAGGCUCUGGAAGGGCCGAAGGGAGGGAUCGUACGCCUUGCUCUAUCAGUUUUUGAUCGGUUGCCUACAAGCUGGAACAGCAAUGGCGUCUGCUGCUCAUUUGCUUGCUGAUUUCAACAAUUGGCUAUGCUAUGGGAUAUCAAGAACAGCUUUGAUCAAAACACUGUGUGAGUCAGCAUCUGACGAGUUCUGAUAUUGAUAGAGGUGGCUGGGGUCCAUUAGUAUUAGAUUAAUGAUGAGACCUGAGUGUAACACAAGUUCCUUCUAAUCCUUCUCUUGGCAGAUUCUCUUUGAACUGUUGUAUCAAGUAAAGGAAAUUGGAAUGGUUCCUUGUCAACAUUAAAGCUGUCACAACACGAUGCAUGAGUGGAGUGCUACUCAUCUUUUUCUUGUUCAGAGAUUCCUAAGAUAAAAUUUGUUUCAUUAAACUGACAUAGUACAACUUUA